AGCAGCCGCGGUAAUUCCAGCUCCAAUAGCGUAUAUUAAAGUUGUUGCAGUUAAAAAGCUCGUAGUUGAAUUUCGAGACCGGUUUACUGGUCGUGCUUUUGUACGUACUGGUAUUAUUGGUUUCUCCUUUCUGACGAAUCUUAAUGCCAUUAAUUUGGUGUUUUGGGGAAUCAGGACUGUUACUUUGAAAAAAUUAGAGUGUUUAAAGCAGGCUCACGCUUGAAUACAUUAGCAUGGAAUAACGAAAUAUGACGUUUGAUUUUAUUUUGUUGGUUUCUAGGAUCGACGUAAUGAUUAAUAGGGAUAGUUGGGGGCAUUAGUAUUCAAUUGUCAGAGGUGAAAUUCUUGGAUUUAUUGAAGACUAACUACUGCGAAAGCAUUUGCCAAGGAUGUUUUCAUUAAUCAAGAACGAAAGUUAGGGGAUCGAAGACGAUCAGAUACCGUCGUAGUCUUAACCAUAAACUAUGCCGACUAGGGAUCGGAUGAUGUUAAUUUUUAAUGACUCAUUCGGCGCCUUACG
rnacentral:rRNA from 1 species